ensembl:snoRNA
UGAGACUGGAGCUGGGAUACAGACUGUUGGGUCACAAAGACUUGUUUUCUGCCUCUGUUUACAGCACUCCCAACAGGAAUCUGGGUUCAUUGUGACGAGGAGCACAAAACUUGGGGCCUUCCUGUGAACACAUACCCUACAUGU